CACCAUCAUUACAAGUAAAGCUUAGUACAUGCGUGUCGAAAUGUAGUAGGGAACAUAAGAGGCAAAGGGAUAGGGAAAGAUAUGCCGCGAUGACUGUUGAACAAAAGAAUGAGAAAAAUAGGAAGCGUCGUGAAGCGCGCCAAAGGAAUAAAGGACUACCGAUAAAAACACAAUCAUCCAUAGAUAGCUUUCCAGAUGACUGUAGCACCAUUGAUUUCAGAAUUUUGUCAACACAAGGCAUUGCAGGUGGAGACGAACAAGUAAACGUGGAUCUAGAUGAUGAUAGCGAUUGGUUGCAUAGAAAUGAGACAUUCUAGGCAAACAACAUUGUCGCAAGUAAUGACCUUCUAACAACAGUUAGAGAUUUCUAGCAUGGCUGACACAAGUAACCAUGGAUCCCUCAUUGAUGAAUGGUUGCCGACCCUACACCAAGCCCAAAGAACUCUCAUGUCAUGCUGAAUGAAAAAUUCAGCUCUCGCUCAAUAUCUGGUCUUUUUAGUGAACAUGGAACCAAUAAGCCCCACGAU
rnacentral:misc_RNA from 1 species